rnacentral:rRNA from 1 species
AUCCAACCUGCCCACCACUUGGGGAUAACCUUGCGAAAGUAAGACUAAUACCCAAUGACGUCUCUAGAAGACAUCUGAAAGGGAUUAAAGAUUUAUCGGUGAUGGAUGGGGAUGCGUCUGAUUAGCUUGUUGGCGGGGUAACGGCCCACCAAGGCGACGAUCAGUAGGGGUUCUGAGAGGAAGGUCCCCCACAUUGGAACUGAGACACGGUCCAAACUCCUACGGGAGGCAGCAGUGAGGAAUAUUGGUCAAUGGACGAGAGUCUGAACCAGCCAAGUAGCGUGCAGGAAGACGGCCCUAUGGGUUGUAAACUGCUUUUAUAAGGGAAUAAAGUGAGUCUCGUGAGACUUUUUGCAUGUACCUUAUGAAUAAGGACCGGCUAAUUCCGUGCCAGCAGCCGCGGUAAUACGGAAGGUCCGGGCGUUAUCCGGAUUUAUUGGGUUUAAAGGGAGCGUAGGCCGGAGAUUAAGCGUGUUGUGAAAUGUAGACGCUCAACGUCUGCACUGCAGCGCGAACUGGUUUCCUUGAGUACGCACAAAGUGGGCGGAAUUCGUGGUGUAGCGGUGAAAUGCUUAGAUAUCACGAAGAACUCCGAUUGCGAAGGCAGCUCACUGGAGCGCAACU